GUUACGGACCGUUCCAUCCAUCCAUCUAUAAAACGGCGAUUGCGGUUAGUUUAGUAUCGAAUUGAAACCAAACAUGAGCCAAAUCAGAGAAUUAUUCGGAACGCCAAACUCCGCUUGAGGGCGCUGUUGUCAUGGCUCUGUGACGUAAGCCGUAAUCAUGUGAUCACGUGAUUGAAUAUAAGCAAAACCAAGUUUUAAGCAACGUUUUCGAGGAGUUGCAAAGAUUGCAGGACAAUCUUCGCCAACAAGGAGAAACGUUGCGUGAAUUGCAGAAAAAUAAUCGAGGUAAUAAUAGAGGAAACAAUAAUCGAAAGGAGGAAAUGGCAGAGGAAGAGGCAGAGGAAGAGGCAAGGGAAGAGGAGGAAUUUUUAUAUAUCACUAUUACAAUAAACAACAAUAAUAAUAUAACUUGUAACUUAUAACUAUAUGUAUUUAAAUAAAAAAUAAAAAUAAAAAAAAUAUUAUGACUGAGUUUUACAUGAAAAAA